UGUGUAUCAUUGCUGAUAGUUCGAGUUUAGAUUCUGAUAUUUGACAUCUGUUGACCUUAAAAAUAUGUCCAACUCCAUUUCACAACAUUGGUUGAAAAAUGCACACCUUUGGAUGGCAUCAUGAUUUUUUCUACUAUAUUCUGUUGAGCCACUAGCAGCUUCAAAAAUUCCCCGUUUCCAGUUUAAGGUGCAUGCUCAUUUACUACUAUCUCUAUGGUCUUACCUCUUAUCUGAUUGCAGCUAAUGUUUAUUAUAGGAUUUGAGGCUAGAUAAUAUAUUGUCAAAUUCUAAUUGUAAAAUGAAAAUAUAUAAUGUCAGUCUAGCGUGACUGUCAUUUAUUGAGACUCCUAUGACUGUAUUCUGGAUGGUAUGUGGGUUUUGCUAGACUAGAAUGACAUACUUAUUAUUUGCCAAAUUAGAUUCGUAUGUAAGGAUAGUCUUUUAUCAAUUAAUUUUCAUCUUAUAUUAAUGACUUCUAAAGGAUUAUGUCACUGUUAGAUGUAUAUGGCCCAUGAGUUGUGUGGGUCCUUCACUGAGGUAAUUAGUUUGCACAUUUAAGUCCAGUAAAAUCACUGAGACAACAAUUGAAUAUUCGUUUAAGUCGGAGAAAAAAGCAACACAUGAUGAUGAAUCGAUACAAAUGAAAAUCAGGAGUCGACAUGAACUUGACGAGGUAAUGAGCCUUCUGGUUUACUCUUUCAAUAUCAAUGAUCAACAACAACUUGAGGAUGAUUUUACUAUCCCCAAGGCUACAGUAGACAUUCUAAAGGACCAAGUUUUUGGUUGUGUACAUGUUAUUCAUGACCAACCAUGAGCCAUAGAGCAGUGGCAUCACAAAGCACUGAGUAGCAUGAGGUGGCACCGCAUGAGCAACAACAGCUCCCUGCGUGACGGGAUCCUCCUCCCAACGGUCGGAUCAUCCUUCUGUGAAUCACAUGCUGAUCAAUAUUUACCACUCCUUGCCUGUUGUGCGAGAUAUCAUCCAGUACUCAAACUUUUGUCUAUUGGUUUUAUAUUUUGGUACAAUAGCUACAGUGAUUAAUAUUUGAUGGCAUGCUUGUUUCA